CUGGCUCAGAACGAACGCUGGCGGCGCGUCUUAAGCAUGCAAGUCGAGCGGGAUUGAGUAGCUUGCUACUCAUGAGAGCGGCGGACUGGUGAGUAACGCGUGGGUGACGUACCCUGAGGAUGGGGAUAGCUCCUAGAAAUAGGAGGUAAUACCGAAUACGGUGUGCAGGGUUAGAGACUGUACAUCAAAGGUUCUUUUGAACCGCCACAGGAGCGGCCCGCGUACUAUUAGCUAGUUGGUGAGGUAACGGCCCACCAAGGCGACGAUAGUUACCCGGCCUGAGAGGGUGAACGGGCACAUUGGGACUGAGAUACGGCCCAGACUCCUACGGGAGGCAGCAGCUAAGAAUAUUCCGCAAUGGAGGAAACUCUGACGGAGCGACGCCGCGUGGACGAAUGAAGGCCGGAAGGUUGUAAAGUCCUUUUAGAUAUGAGGAAUAAGUAAGGUGAGAGAAACGCCUUAUGGUGACUGUAGUAUCAGAAUAAGGGGCGGCUAAUUACGUGCCAGCAGCCGC
rnacentral:rRNA from 1 species